GAGAUCUACAGAUGGAGAUGUACACACAGCCAAAUAUAAACCCUGCUUCAGGAACCUUCACAGAAAAGGCACCAACAUUGACUGUGGUGCCAGAGUGAUGUCAUACUCUAACUUCAAGAUCUGGCAAGGCUCCCAUUUUUUUUGUGAGCUGUAAACUGCAGCUGUGAUAUUACUGGAUUUUGCUGCUCUCUGCUCAGAGGAAUCCCUAGGAAAAAAGUAAUGUGGGGCAAACUGCUACUCCAAUUUUGGUUCCAAGUUUUAUUCAACACUGAAUGCUACAACAAAGGUGUAAUAAAUCAUCUGAAAGAAAUGAAGUUCCCAGAGC